GAGACUGACUCAGGCUCCUUGAAGUUAUGUUGCCCUAACCUGGAGAGAAAUGUUCGCGGUCUCCCGAUUCAAAAGCCUCAACUCCAAGGAGCGGGAUUUUGCCUCAGUCCACUUGCGUGGGUUUGGGAAGAUGCCGUUUAAGUCGAGCGGUGGUGCCAGCAGUCGAAAUGGUGGAGGGAUCUCUGUUGCUGUGCGAAGAAUCCCUUGCCACAAGGAUCGUCAACCUUCUUUCGGUGCGUACGUGUAAGAGGUGCUGGGAAAGAAGUACGUGGACACCAGACGUGUGAACUAACCUUCUAGAACUCUCAAUCUCAAUGCCACACUGGUUGAUCACUUACGCGGUAACGUAACGCCGUCAUUGUUGAUUUAGAAGGGGAUAAAAAAAUUAUACUCCAAGUUCGGUUUGGCUCCUUUUCCGUUGGCCGAGGGGUCGAGACAAAAGAAAAAGAUGCGCCAAGCGUAAUCUACGUUGAGCUCCUAGGGAUAUUUCCUCAUCAGCACAUUAACUACCCUGUUCGGAUCCCGCCGAGCUGAAUCUGUUAACGUCCUAUUGAACUCCAGUUCACUAAAAGGCUUCAUCAGAGAUAAACACUGGCAGGCAACGGAAUGAAUUAGCAUAGAGCAGACUAACUUUGUCAGCUAAUGGUCUGUUCUGCAUCCACCAUCAGCAUUCUGGAGAAAUGUUGUUUUCAUUUGCGAUAACCUGCUCUGUCAUCAGGGGAGAACCGCAGAUGGAACCGCUGUCCGCAGUCUAGCCCCGUGGCGGUAGAGACGGGGUCGUCUUAGGAAGCCGAAACACGGACCGACAUCGAGAAUCGCUGAGGCUUUCGAAGUCCUGUUGCUUCUGAUGAAACACAUCUGCGUAGUGGGAACGACACCUCUCGUCCCUUUCCAUCUGUUUCCGGUCAAAAGCCAAAAGGGAAGGGCCAUCUCUUGACAGAGAACUAGGCGCGACUUGUCCAACGGAAUACGUGCUUCCCCCGGAGAGCGGGGAUUUUUUCGGAACGUGAAUCCUCUGGGCAGGCUACGUCACGUCUGGCACGAUCCCCCGUUUGUUACAGCUCAGAGAGUUGGAAUGGACACGGUUUCAACUGGGAAUGUGACUCCAGGCAUUCGUAAUUGAAAUAUAUACCAUACACGAUCUCUUUGCCUUCAACAUUAAUACCCAUCUGUUGAAAUGG